GGCCUAGGAGUCUUAACCGGCGAUGCCUAUAUUACGCCUGUUCGGGCUUGCCCGGACUAUGGCGAUAAACGACUGCGUAAUAAGCGGCCCGGACCCGGGGGCGGUACCCGGCGCCUCCACCAUUCUCCCUCUAGAAGAGGGAAUACGGGGGCG
rnacentral:tmRNA from 1 species